rnacentral:tRNA from 1 species
AGCUAAGUUGGUAUAGCAGAGGGCCUUGAAACCCUCGUGUCGCGGGUUCGAUUCCCGCC